rnacentral:lncRNA from 1 species
CCCAUGGUUGUGGCGUUCCAUCAAGGAACUGAGCCCUUCCAAAAGGCCCUGUAGGAACUCCUGAUGUCUCCCAAUGGUGGCUCCCUGAGGGAGACAGCUUGGCGGAGCUGGUCCAAGUCUGCUGGGUCUGUCAGGGCCAGUUCGUACUAUCAAGGCACAAGGUGAGACCCAAAUGCAGACACAGGAGGCAGAUGGUUGGAGUCUUACAAUGUUUAUUCAUCCAAACGGGUAUGAAAGAGAAUGUUCAAAAAGGCAAAAAGUCAAAACCAGAUCAGAGUCCAGGAGGUACAGAGUGGCAGACAGGCUCGUGGUCAAAGCAGGCAGGCGGGUACAGAGUCCAGAAAACAGGCAAGGGUCAAAACCGGGAGGACUAGAAAAAGGAGAAUAGCAAAAGGAGUACGGGAAAAACACGCUGGUUUACUAAACAUAUGAUGUGGGGGCACACUUCCUAUCACAUGACAUGGGGGCACACUUCCUAUCACAUGACAUGGGAUAAUGACGUACACUACAAAAGGCAUGCCUAUGCAUCACCCAACCGGAUGGCUUAAUUGUUAUGGUAUUGUGUUAUUUUUUAUUUUAUUUUGUACUUGAUUUUACUGGAAAUAUGUCUUCUACCUAUUUAAUGUUCUGGGUGUUUGUUGGUUCUCAUGAAGACAGGAGACUCAUAUGACUAUGUCCUUACACCACCCGACUGCUCUAUAUUGUAAUUUGUGACAUUGAUUCGUUAGAAGACUGAAGACUUAGUUACUAUCACAAUGUCAUAUCGCCUGGCGGAAGAUGCAGUUACAAGUCCGUGUCAACUACGUGCUACAUUUCCCCCUCGGAGGACAAUGCAUUUUUAUCCAAACUAAACAGAAUAACGAGGCUUGAAAUGUUGAGUAAUCCGUUACUUCGCACUAAUGCAUGCCUUUCAAACUUCUUUCCAUCGGUCUCGAGGUGGAUUCACAUCCUAAUCUAGACUUUUGGUAUAAAAGUUAGAGCCUAGAUAUAAUAUAUAAGUAUGUUUGGAAGCAUAAGCCCUUUCUAUUUCAAUGAACAUUUACAACCAAAUUUGUCUUCAAAUUGCAAGGCUUUGCAAUGCUCAUUGAAAAGCUCAAUGGGCAACUGACUAUUUUCACCCACAUAAAGUUGACCAACCAUAUCACUGGAGGUCAGCUCCCAGUUCACCACUGGAGGUCAGCUCCCAGUUCACCAUAUCACUGGAGGUCAGCUCCCAGUUCACCACUGGAGGUCAGCUCCCAGUUCACCACUGGAGGUCAGCUCCCAGUUCACCACUGGAGGUCAGCUCCCAGUUCACCAUAUCACUGGAGGUCAGCUCCCAGUUCACCACUGGAGGUCAGCUCCCAGUUCACCAUAUGACAGGCGGUGUCUGAGAAAGGCCCCAGACAUGGAUUGUUCUCCAUGCUCCCGCCCAGCAGGCGGUGCCGGUGCAUCAAGGCUCUGACAAACAGACUCCUAAACAACUUCAAUCACCUGGCCAUAAGAUUGUUACAUGGCUAACAACUGCUCUCACUCACACCUACGCUUCUGCUAAAAUGAUUAUUGGUUAGAUUUCAUACUCUCACAAUUACAUGCACAAACUUACACUCACAUACAUACACUCAUCACCAUAUACAAACCCACCUGACUAAAAUGUAAAUGUAAAUACCGUAUACUACGUCAGCUACUGUAUAAUCAACAGCGGCUAGACUACUUUAGUCUGUGGCUCGCUAGCAUUAUGUAAGGUACUGUUUAAUCAACGAGGGGCUAUGCAUUGUCUGGAAAAUAAUGAACG